rnacentral:lncRNA from 1 species
CGUGUGCUGUUAGAAGUCAUCAAUAAUUUAAUGUGUGAAGUCUGUACGAGUUUAGUGCACGAGACAUAGUUUAGUUGACCGCGGACUCAUGGGGGUGUUAAUUUUUCCAUCUAUCUUACUGAAAAGGGGGUCAGUAUGACAAUCAGAUCCCGUAGUUUUGCAAGUUUUGUUUUUAUAAAUCGCAUUUCAUAAAUCACUUUUUAUAUAAUGAUUCGCAUUGGGUUUUUUGUGUUUUGAGUUGUUUGUCUUUUUUGUCUUUUGUGCUGUUUUUGGUUUUUUGUGUGCUUUUGUUUGUAUAUAUGUAUACCGAUAUGUCUUCGACGUUAUACUCGACGAAGAGCCCAUAAAAUAACUUAUUUUCGUGUAAAUUAAUAGAAAACCCGAUUAAAAUGAAAUUAAGAUUUAGUCACCUCACUUAAUUUGUAUAAACUUGAUGAUAUGUUUUCAUUCAGAAUAUGCAUGAGAGAAA